GCACUCUCUUCGGCAGCACAUAUACUAAAAAAAUGGAAUGAUACAGAAAAGAUUAGCAUGGACCCUGUGCAAAUAUGACAUGCAAAUCUGUGAAGCCUUCCAUAUAAAA
rnacentral:snRNA from 1 species